CCUACGGGAGGCAGCAGUGGGGGAUAUUGCACAAUGGGGGGAACCCUGAUGCAGCGACGCCGCGUGGGUGAAGGAGCGUUUCGGCGCGUAAAGCCCUAUCGGCAGGGAAGAAGGAGGACGGUACCUGACUAAGAAGCCCCGGCUAACUACGUGCCAGCAGCCGCGGUAAUACGUAGGGGGCAAGCGUUAUCCGGAUUUACUGGGUGGAAAGGGGGCGCAGACGGCAGCGCAAGCCAGGAGUGAAAGCCCGGGGCCCAACCCCGGGACUGCACUUGGAACUGCGCGGCUGGAGUGCAGGAGAGGUAAGUGGAAUUCCUAGUGUAGCGGUGAAAUGCGUAGAUAUUAGGAGGAACACCAGUGGCGAAGGCGGCUUACUGGACUGUAACUGACGUUGAGGCUCGAAAGCGUGGGGAGCAAACAGGAUUAGAUACCCCUGUAGUC
rnacentral:rRNA from 1 species